rnacentral:rRNA from 1 species
GGCUUCGCCUGCGGGUCGACGAUUCCUACGGGAGGCAGCAGCUAAGAAUCUUCCGCAAUGGGCGAAAGCCUGACGGAGCGACGCCGCGUGGACGAAGAAGGCCGGAAGGUUGUAAAGUCCUUUUCCUGGGGGAGAAUAAUGCGGGGAGGGAAUGCCCUGCAGAUGACGUGAACCAGGGAAUAAGCCCCGGCUAAUUACGUGCCAGCAGCCGCGGUAACACGUAAGGGGCGAGCGUUGUUCGGAUUUAUUGGGCGUAAAGGGCGUGUAGGCGGUAGUGCAAGUCUGGUGUGAAAGGCCCCGGCUCAACCGGGGAAGCGCGCUGGAAACUGUGCUGCUAGAGUUUAGGAGGGGAAGCUGGAAUUCCUGGUGUAGGGGUGAAAUCUGUAGAGAUCAGGAAGAACACCGGAGGCGAAGGCGAGCUUCUGGCCAUAGACUGACGCUGAGGCGCGAAAGCGUGGGGAGCAAACAGGAUUAGAUACCCUGGUAGUCCACGCUGUAAACGAUGUGCACUAGGUGUUGGGGGUAUGAACUCUCGGUGCCGGAGCUAACGCGUUAAGUGCACCGCCUGGGGAGUACGCCGGCAACGGUAAAACUCAAAGGAAUUGACGG